rnacentral:rRNA from 1 species
UACGAAGGGGGCUAGCGUUGCUCGGAAUCACUGGUCGUAAAGCGCACGUAGGCGGAUUGUUAAGUCGGGGGUGAAAUCCUGGAGCUCAACUCCAGAACUGCCUUCGAUACUGGCGAUCUUGAGUCCGGGAGAGGUGAGUGGAACUCCGAGUGUAGAGGUGAAAUUCGUAGAUAUUCGGAAGAACACCAGUGGCGAAGGCGGCGCACUGGCCCGGUACUGACGCUGAGGUGCGAAAGCGUGGGGAGCAAACAGG